rnacentral:rRNA from 1 species
UUUGAGGAGCCCGCGGCCUAUCAGCUUGUUGGUGAGGUAACGGCUCACCAAGGCAUUGACGGGUAGCUGGUCUGAGAGGACGACCAGUCACACUGGGACUGAGACACGGCCCAGACACCUACGGGUGGCAGCAGUCGAGAAUUUUUCUCAAUGGGGGAAACCCUGAAGGAGCGACGCCGCGUGGAGGAUGAAGGUCUUCGGAUUGUAAACUCCUGUCAUUUGGGAACAAGGCUGUGCGGUUAACUGCCGCGCAGUUGAUAGUACCAGAAGAGGAAGAGACGGCUAACUCUGUGCCAGCAGCCGCGGUAAUACAGAGGUCUCAAGCGUUGUUCGGAUUCAUUGGGCGUAAAGGGUGCGUAGGCGGCGCGGUAAGUCGGGUGUGAAAUUUCGAGGCUUAACUUCGAAACUGCAUUCGAUACUGCCGUGCUUGAGGACUGGAGAGGAGACUGGAAUUUACGGUGUAGCGGUGAAAUGCGUAGAUAUCGUAAGGAAGACCAGUGGCGAAGGCGGGUCUCUGGACAGUUCCUGACGCUGAGGCACGAAGGCCAGGGGAGCAAACGGGAUUAGAUACCCCGGUAGUCCUGGCAAUAAACGGUGCACGUUUGGUGUGGGAGGAUUCGACCCCUUCUGCGCCGGAGCUAACGCGUUAAACGUGCCGCCUGGGGAGUACGGUCGCAAGAUUAAAACUCAAAGAAAUUGACGGGGGCCCGCACAAGCGGUGGAGUAUGUGGCUUAAUUCGAUGCAACGCGAAGAACCUUACCUGGCCUUGACAUGCAUCUCUAAGCUGGUGAAAGCCAGUGAGUCCCGAAAGGGACAAUUUGCACAGGUGCUGCAUGGCUGUCGUCAGCUCGUGUCGUGAGAUGUUGGGUUAAGUCCCGCAACGAGCGCAACCCCUGUGAACUGUUGCCACCGGCCCGUGAGGGUCGAGCACUCUGUUCAGACUGCC